rnacentral:rRNA from 1 species
AGGGGGCAAGCGUUGUCCGGAUUUAUUGGGCGUAAAGCGCUCGCAGGUGGUCCGAUGCGUCGUGCGUGAAAGCCCCCGGCUCAACUGGGGAGUGUCGUGCGAUACGGUCGGACUGGAGGCCAGUAGGGGGAUGCGGAAUUCCGGGUGUAGUGGUGGAAUGCGUAGAGAUCCGGAGGAACACCAGCGGCGAAGGCGGCAUCCUGGACUGGUCCUGACACUCAGGAGCGAAAGCGUGGGGAGCGAUCCGGAUUAGAUACCCGGGUAGUCCACGCUGUAAACGAUGAGUACUAGGUGUCGGGGGUAUCGACCCCCUCGGUGCCGCAGCUAACGCGAUAAGUACUCCGCCUGGGGACUACGGCCGCAAGGCU